AUACGGAGGGUGCAAGCGUUACUCGGAAUCACUGGGCGUAAAGCGCGCGCAGGCGGCUAUUUAAGUUGGAUGUGAAAGCCUACGGCUCAACCGUAGAACUGCAUCCAAAACUAUUUAGCUAGAGUGUGGGAGAGGAAGAUGGAAUUAGUUGUGUAGGGGUAAAAUCCGUAGAGAUAACUAGGAAUACCAAAAGCGAAGGCAAUCUGCUGGAACACUACUGACGCUGAGGCGCGAAAGCGUGGGGAGCAAACGGGAUUAGAAACCCGAGUAGUCC
rnacentral:rRNA from 1 species